rfam:Epilithonimonas sp. 36-9 SCNpilot_cont_300_bf_scaffold_304, whole genome shotgun sequence.
ACAUAGCCCCGAUUGUAGUGUAAAUCCUUUUUCUUUUCAGAAAAGAAAAAGAUUGCAACGGAAAGCGGGUUGAUAA